rnacentral:misc_RNA from 1 species
UUUCCGUAGGUGAACCUGCGGAAGGAUCAUUACUGAGUGAGGGCCCUCUGGGUCCAACCUCCCACCCGUGUUUAUUGUUCCUUGUUGCUUCGGUGAGCCCGCCUCACGGCCGCCGGGGGGCAUCUGCCCCCGGGCCCGCGCUCGCCGAAGACACACUUGAACUCUGUCUGAAGUUUGCAGUCUGAGCGAAAACUAAAUAAGUUAAAACUUUCAACAACGGAUCUCUUGGUUCCGGCAUCGAUGAAGACGCAGC